rnacentral:rRNA from 1 species
UGGGGAAUUUUGGACAAUGGGCGAAAGCCUGAUCCAGCCAUUCCGCGUGAGUGAAGAAGGCCUUCGGGUUGUAAAGCUCUUUCGCAAGGAAAGAAAACUUAUCUCCUAAUACUAGGUGAGGAUGACGGUACCUUGAUAAGAAGCACCGGCUAACUACGUG